ensembl:lncRNA
GGCAGAUUUUGCAACUAGGAGUGCCACGGUUAGGAGUUUUCUCACAAGUUUGGAAUAGGAACAAUGAAUGUCAUUUUUAAGACUGCUUAAACUCAUGCUGGUGAACCAGAAGUCCAUAGACAAACAUCCUUAAGAGCCCCAAGAGACUUGCUGGUUUCUCACACUUUGAAGAAUAAGAUGAAUUGCUGGCUUACCUGAGGAAGCUCAGAGGAAGACUAUCUCCAGAAAACAGCAAUAAAAUACCAGAUAGAAAAUGUAGUUGCCUUUCUCUUUUUAUUUUUUGGCAUUGUGAGUAAAGCUCUUUCCUCUUUGCUUCAAAGAGCUGAGGAGUAAAGUAGUGUUUGAUUUGAUUCUUCUGCUCCUCUUUUCUAAAUCAGAAUGACACCUGUGUUGCCUUCCAUACCAACAGUCAAUUUAUCAUUAAAUACGUCAACUGCCGAAUACAAUUCAAAUAUUGGUUGAAGAAAACAAAAGCUCUUUAAAGAGAAACUGGAUUUUCAAAGGUAACUGCUGUAAGGCUGCAUUCCUUCUAAGGGUAGAAUCUAAGCUGCUGCUGACACAUCAGAUUAGAAAAAUAAUCAGCUGCAUCUUCAAAGAACAUUCUCGUCUUCUGCAUUUAAUUCUUUUGGGCCUACAUGUAAAUAAAGUGCUUAAUUCUUUAAAUCCAGAUGACCAGCUGAGUUUUACUUCUUUCACUUCUUUCACUUUUAAAGUCUCAAAAGCAAGGAGACCAUGGCUUUGUUUCAUACCUUGCUAUAGGACAAGAACUUCCACAGUUGAGACCUUAGACAUAGGACCUCCUCCUAGACAUUCUAUUGAAGACCUGAACAAUGAUCUGACCUCACUUAACGGCUCUGUGUCACCUUCUCUCCCCUCUUCUUCUCACAUUCUCCCCACAUACUUAUACUGCCAAGCUCUAUUUGCCUUUUACUGAGUGCAUUCUCCUCAGAUUUCCUUAAUGCAGCACACGACACAUGCUCACAUACUCACCUUGUGCCUUUGACUUUAGUCAGGAAAUGUGCCCUGCCCUUCUCUCCAAGGUUCUUGCCUCCACAGCAGAGGUUCCUCAGCUGCUCAGGAACAGAUGCUGAGCUGCCAUGAAUUAGAGGCAGGUGCAUUAAAGGAAAUUGAAAUUGACCCUUGUUUUCUCCACGCUCCAACAGUGAAAGAGCUUGGUGUGCUGCUGAGCUAGGCCUGGAGAAGGAGGAAGAACUGCCCAGAGAAAGUCAGCACAGAAAGCUGGGAGGGGAAGAAACCAAAGUUGUCCCAAGCUGAACUCUUGUCACCAAUUAACCACUUGUAUUUAAUUAUGCUCAUUUAAAAGACACAAAAAAAAAAAAAAAAAUCUCUGCAUUCAAAGGUGGAAAGGAUGAAAACCUGUAAAUAAAGGACUCUAAAAGGAACCAUUUGGGAUAUAUAACUUCAACUUCUGAUUAUUAUUAAUUUUUACAUUUU